ACGGAAGGCAGCAGUGGGGAAUAUUGCACAAUGGGCGAAAGCCUGAUGCAGCAACGCCGCGUGAGUGAUGAAGGCCUUCGGGUCGUAAAACUCUGUCCUCAAGGAAGAUAAUGACGGUACUUGAGGAGGAAGCCCCGGCUAACUACGUGCCAGCAGCCGCGGUAAUACGUAGGGGGCUAGCGUUAUCCGGAUUUACUGGGCGUAAAGGGUGCGUAGGUGGUUUCUUAAGUCAGGAGUGAAAGGCUACGGCUCAACCGUAGUAAGCUCUUGAAACUGGGAAACUUGAGUGCAGGAGAGGAAAGUGGAAUUCCUAGUGUAGCGGUGAAAUGCGUAGAUAUUAGGAGGAACACCAGUAGCGAAGGCGGCUUUCUGGACUGUAACUGACACUGAGGCACGAAAGCGUGGGGAGCAAACAGGAUUAGAUACCCUGGUA
rnacentral:rRNA from 2 species